GACGAACGCUGGCGGCGUGCUUAACACAUGCAAGUCGAGCGGUAAGGCCCUUUCGGGGGUACACGAGCGGCGAACGGGUGAGUAACACGUGGGUGACCUGCCCUCAGCUCUGGGAUAAGCCUGGGAAACCGGGUCUAAUACUGGAUAUGACUCCAUGACGCAUGCUGUGGGGUGGAAAGCCUUGUGCGGCUGAGGAUGGGCCCGCGGCCUAUCAGCUUGUUGGUGGGGNGAUGGCCUACCAAGGCGACGACGGGUAGCCGGCCUGAGAGGGCGACCGGCCACACUGGGACUGAGACACGGCCCAGACUCCUACGGGAGGCAGCAGUGGGGAAUCUUGCGCAAUGGGCGAAAGCCUGACGCAGCGACGCCGCGUGAGGGAUGACGGCCU
rnacentral:rRNA from 1 species